UGGGGAAUAUUGGACAAUGGGCGCAAGCCUGAUCCAGCCAUGCCGCGUGAGUGAUGAAGGCCCUAGGGUUGUAAAGCUCUUUCACCGGUGAAGAUAAUGACGGUAACCGGAGAAGAAGCCCCGGCUAACUUCGUGCCAGCAGCCGCGGUAAUACGAAGGGGGCUAGCGUUGUUCGGAUUUACUGGGCGUAAAGCGCACGUAGGCGGACUAUUAAGUCAGGGGUGAAAUCCCGGGGCUCAACCCCGGAACUGCCUUUGAUACUGGUAGUCUUGAGUUCGAGAGAGGUGAGUGGAAUUCCGAGUGUAGAGGUGAAAUUCGUAGAUAUUCGGAGGAACACCAGUGGCGAAGGCGGCUCACUGACUCGAUACUGACGCUGAGGUGCGAAAGCGUGGGGAGCAAACAGG
rnacentral:rRNA from 1 species